CCUACGGGUGGCAGCAGUGGGGAAUAUUGCGCAAUGGGCGAAAGCCUGACGCAGCGACGCCGCGUGAAGGAUGACGGUCUUCGGGUCGUAAACCUCUGUCAGCAGGGAAGAACGGUCACUUUGCUAAUCAGCAGUGCAUUGACGUUACCUGCAAAGGCAGCACCGGCUCACUCCGGCACAGCCGCCGCGGUAAUACGGAGGGUGCGAGCGUUAAUCGGAAUUACUGGGCGUAAAGCUCUCGUAGGCGGUAUGUCAAGUCAAGGGUGAAAUCCCCGCGCUCAACGUGGGAACUUCCUUUGAAACUGGCAAACUGGAGUGUGGGAGAGGAGAGUGGAAUUCCAGGUGUAGGAGUGAAAUCCGUAGAUAUCGGGAGGAACAUCAGUGGCGAAGGCGACUAGCUGGAACAUAACUGACGCUGAGGAGCGAAAGCGUGGGUAGCAAACAGGAUUAGAUACCCGAGUAGUC
rnacentral:rRNA from 1 species